rnacentral:rRNA from 1 species
AUUGAACGCUGGCGGCAUGCCUUACACAUGCAAGUCGAACGGCAGCGGACCUUCAGGUGCCGGCGAGUGGCGAACGGGUGAGUAAUAUAUCGGAACGUGCCUUUCAGUGGGGGAUAACGUAGCGAAAGUUACGCUAAUACCGCAUAUUCUCUGAGGAGGAAAGCAGGGGACCUUCGGGCCUUGCGCUGAUAGAGCGGCCGAUAUCAGAUUAGCUAGUUGGUGGGUAAAGGCCUACCAAGGCGACGAUCUGUAGCGGGUCUGAGAGGAUGAUCCGCCACACUGGGACUGAGACACGGCCCAGAGUCCUACGGGAGGCAGCAGUGGGGAAUUUUGGACAAUGGGCGAAAGCCUGAUCCAGCCAUGCCGCGUGAGUGAAGAAGGCCUUCGGGUUGUAAAGCUCUUUCGGCCGGGAAGAAAUCGCACAGGCUAAUACCUUGUGUGGAUGACGGUACCGGAAUAAGAAGCACCGGCUAACUACGUGCCAGCCGCCGCCGUAAAAC